AAAAAUAUGACGGUAUAAUGAGACACUAAAAAUUUUAUGAGACCCAGUUUUAAUAUGUUGUAAUGUUUAGAGAUUUAUUUGUUUUUUUUUUAUUUACGUUUUUCUCCUCUUUGAGAUUUUUUAUAUUGCUGCAGGAUUUAGACUUCUUCAUCUUAAAGUUUAUACCUUGGAUUAAUUAAGUAAAAAGAUUAAUAAGCUUUGCAAAAAUUAUAAAAAAACAUCGAACAUUUAAAUAGGAUAUAGGUGUGAGUGAGAAAUAAAAAAUAGUUGUACCUUGUGAUGCAGUGAUGACAUUGAUAUCUUGAUGGGAAUGAUCUGAAGAUGUGAUAUCUUUGGGAGAUGUGGAGCAUAUACGAAUGCCUUUUCCUUCUAAUCGAUCAAUAUGUGCUUUAAUUCUUGAAACUCCUCCUUUGAAUUUGAAUUCACAGCGCUUACACUUCAGCCUACCAUCUUCUUCUCUAUCAACUUGAUUCCAGUAGUACUCAUCUUUCGGCCUACCCAUUAUUACUAUAUUUCCUGGAUCCAUAAAACGAAAUCUAAUUAAUAUUCAUUUCAUCGUUUCUUAAUCAAAUUUCAUGCUCACCACCUCAAAGGGUUGAUGAAAGUGUCAAAGAAAACUCAACUGCAA
rnacentral:sRNA from 1 species